rnacentral:rRNA from 1 species
UACGGAAGGGGCAAGCGUUGUUCGGAAUCAUUGGGCGUAAAGGGUGCGUAGGCGGUUUGGUAAGUCUGAUGUGAAAUCUAUGGGCUCAACUCAUAGUCUGCAUCGGAAACUGCCGGGCUUGAGUAUGGGAGAGGUGAGUGGAAUUCCUGGUGUAGCGGUGAAAUGCGUAGAUAUCAGGAGGAACACCUGUGGCGAAAGCGGCUCACUGGACCAUAACUGACGCUGAUGCACGAAAGCUAGGGGAGCAAACAGG